rnacentral:misc_RNA from 1 species
UGGGGGGAGUGAGGACAGGUGAGAGGGUGAGAAGAGUGAUGCGGUGAUAAACAGAGGCAGAGUAGGGGUGAUGAACGGAAUUUCGGGAAGGAGAAUGCCGCCACCUACUGCGAGGGCGAUUGCUAGGGCUUUCUCUGCCGUGGAAGUGACGGAAAGUACGAAGCUACCUGUGGCUGUGUGGAGCCAAGCGGCGCUAAAUUUCGGUGAGGAGUUAGGGUUCAUGCGGAGAUUAAGAACGGUAUUAGUGGUGAUUCAACAGCUGGGUUUAAUCUGAGAAGGAUUCCAUUUUUGGUGAUGAACAAAAUAGGGAUUGAGCACAUGGACUGUGAUGAUUCGAAAUUGAAAAGGCAGCCUACAAGAACUAUGAAGACCAUCUAUGACUUUUUGAAGUAAAAAUGAUGGAGACAGAAUAUUGUGGCUGUUGUUGUGAAGGCUGUUGGAGAAAGCUACGAGUCAUCCACCUCCCUCAGCAUUGUUAAGUCCGUAAAGAAUGUUUAAAGUUCACGCCUCUGUUUCAGUCCAGACGCUCAAGCCCAAGGACAAGUCUGAUUGCUUUUAUUGUUUUUUUGCCCA